rnacentral:rRNA from 1 species
CACGCUGUAAACGAUGGAUACUAGGUGUAGGAGGUAUCGACCCCUUCUGUGCCGGAGUUAACACAAUAAGUAUCCCACCUGGGGAGUACGGCCGCAAGGUUGAAACUCAAAGGAAUUGACGGGGGCCCGCACAAGCAGUGGAGUAUGUGGUUUAAUUCGAAGCAACGCGAAGAACCUUACCAGGGCUUGACAUCCCUCUGACAGCGCUAGAGAUAGUGCUUCUCUUCGGAGCAGAGGAGACAGGUGG